rnacentral:rRNA from 1 species
AUUGAACGCUGGCGGCAGGCCUAACACAUGCAAGUCGAGCGGCAGCGGGAAGUAGCUUGCUACUUUGCCGGCGAGCGGCGGACGGGUGAGUAAUGUCUGGGAAACUGCCUGAUGGAGGGGGAUAACUACUGGAAACGGUAGCUAAUACCGCAUAACGUCGCAAGACCAAAGAGGGGGACCUUCGGGCCUCUUGCCAUCAGAUGUGCCCAGAUGGGAUUAGCUAGUAGGUGGGGUAACGGCUCACCUAGGCGACGAUCCCUAGCUGGUCUGAGAGGAUGACCAGCCACACUGGAACUGAGACACGGUCCAGACUCCUACGGGAGGCAGCAGUGGGGAAUAUUGCACAAUGGGCGCAAGCCUGAUGCAGCCAUGCCGCGUGUAUGAAGAAGGCCUUCGGGUUGUAAAGUACUUUCAGCGGGGAGGAAGGUGUUGAGG